GGGAGGGGACAGAGAGGACAGACCCAGCGGACAGACCCAGGGGGCUGGGGAAGCUUCCUGGUGAGACCCCUACUGGACUGGCAGAGCAAUAUCGAACGUCUGCUGGUGGGAUAUUUUCCCCAUGGUGGACGGCAACCAAACGAGCCCCAAGUCUCGCAGGUGCAGAGUG